AACAUAUGUAGCGUUGUCGGUACGUCGAACUGUCUUACGGGAGGGCGUGUGAGUUGCAAUUGGGUUGUCUGUGCUGUCUGGCUCCGUGAGUCGUGGUCAUCGAACUUUCAGCACACAGCCCAUGUCAUGUUCGCCUUGUGUCGUUUCGGCCCCGGACGUUCAAUUAUGGUUCUUGUGUUGCCUACCAGUUAAGUGGUAAUCAUGUGCCUCUUAUGACCCGUUCCAUCCAGGCCCCUUGUAGGGGUCGUUGGAGGAUUCUAAAGUGGUGCGUGUGAUGAGUUGUCUGUGCACUGUAACGGCUUGGCUUCUCACACGUGUCCAGUGUUCCCUUGGAUGCGGUGCAUGCGGCGAACGUGGGCUGAUUCUGACCAGUCUGUCCCGUUGAGUCCCUUCGAUUUAUCGGUUCCCUUGAAUGACACUUUGCCGUGGUGUGGGUCUUGCUUAACCAUUCGUGGUGGCAACACUUGCACCUGGAGCAAAGUCGUUGAUG
rnacentral:misc_RNA from 1 species